rnacentral:rRNA from 1 species
AUUGAACGCUGGCGGAAUGCUUUACACAUGCAAGUCGAGCGGCAGCGCGGGGCAACAUGGCGGCGAGCGGCGAACGGGUGAGUAAUGCAUCGGAACGUACCCAGUCGUGGGGGAUAACACAGCGAAAGUUGUGCUAAUACCGCAUAUGUCCUGAGGGAGAAAGCGGGGGAUCGCAAGACCUCGAGCGAUUGGCGGGGCCGAUGUCGGAUUAGCUAGUUGGUGGGGUAAAGGCCUACCAAGGCGACGAUCCGUAGCUGGUCUGAGAGGACGACCAGCCACACUGGAACUGAGACACGGUCCAGACUCCUACGGGAGGCAGCAGUGGGGAAUUUUGGACAAUGGGGGCAACCCUGAUCCAGCCAUUCCGCGUGAGUGAAGAAGGCCUUCGGGUUGUAAAGCUCUUUCGGCAGGAACGAAACGGUCCUAGCUAAUACCUGGGGCUAAUGACGGUACCUGAAGAAGAAGCACCGGCUAACUACGUGCCAGCAGCCGCAGUAACAC